rnacentral:rRNA from 1 species
CGGCAACGGAUAUCUCGGCUCUCGCAUCGAUGAAGAACGUAGCAAAAUGCGAUACUUGGUGUGAAUUGCAGAAUCCCGUGAAUCAUCGAGUCUUUGAACGCAAGUUGCGCCCGAAGCCUUUAAGCCGAGGGCACGUCUGCCUGGGCGUCAUG